rnacentral:rRNA from 1 species
GACGAACGCUGGCGGCGUGCUUAACACAUGCAAGUCGAACGGUGAAGCGAGUGCUUGCACUCGUGGAUCAGUGGCGAACGGGUGAGUAACACGUGAGUAACCUGCCCAUCACUCUGGGAUAAGCACUGGAAACGGUGUCUAAUACUGGAUACGACCAACCCUUGCAUGGGGUGUUGGUGGAAAGAUUUAUCGGUGAUGGAUGGACUCGCGGCCUAUCAGCUUGUGGGCGGGGUAAUGGCCCACCAAGGCGACGACGGGUAGCCGGCCUGAGAGGGUGACCGGCCACACUGGGACUGAGACACGGCCCAGACUCCUACGGGAGGCAGCAGUGGGGAAUAUUGCACAAUGGGCGAAAGCCUGAUGCAGCGACGCCGCGUGAGGGAUGACGGCCUUCGGGUUGUAAACCUCUUUCAGCAGGGAAGAAGCGAAAGUGACGGUACCUGCAGAAGAAGCACCGGCUAACUACGUG